AACGAACGCUGGCGGCAGGCCUAACACAUGCAAGUCGAGCGAGGACUUCGGUUCUAGCGGCGGACGGGGGAGUAACGCGGGGGAAUGUGCCCUUCUCUACGGAAUAGCCCUGGGAAACUGGGAGUAAUACCGUAUACGCCCUUUUGGGGAAAGAUUUAUCGGAGAAGGAUCAGCCCGCGUUGGAUUAGGUAGUUGGUGGGGUAAUGGCCUACCAAGCCGACGAUCCAUAGCUGGUUGGAGAGGAUGAUCAGCCACACUGGGACUGAGACACGGCCCAGACUCCUACGGGAGGCAGCAGUGGGGUAUCUUAGACAAUGGGGGCAACCCUGAUCUAGCCAUGCCGCGUGAGUGAUGAAGGCCUUAGGGUUGUAAAGCUCUUUCAGCUGGGAAGAUAAUGACGGUACCAGCAGAAGAAGCCCCGGCUAACUCCGUG
rnacentral:rRNA from 1 species